rnacentral:tRNA from 1 species
GCCGGAGUGGUGAAACUGGUAGACGCAGGGGACUCAAAAUCCCCCGGAGUUAUGCUCCAUGCGGGUUCGACUCCCGCCUCCGGCACCA